UACGGGAGGCAGCAGUGGGGAAUAUUGCACAAUGGGCGCAAGCCUGAUGCAGCCAUGCCGCGUGUAUGAAAAAGGCCUUCGGGUUGUAAAGUACUUUCAGUCGUGAGGAAGGUGUUAAGGUUAAUAACCUUAGCAAUUGACGUUAGCGACAGAAGAAGCACCGGCUAACUCCGUGCCAGCAGCCGCGGUAAUACGGAGGGUGCGAGCGUUAAUCGGAAUUACUGGGCGUAAAGGGCACGCAGGCGGUUAAUUAAGUUGGAUGUGAAAUCCCCGGGCUUAACCUGGGAAUGGCAUUCAAGACUGGUUAGCUAGAGUCUUGUAGAGGGGGUUAGAAUUCCAUGUGUAGCGGUGAAAUGCGUAGAGAUGUGGAGGAAUACCGGUGGCGAAGGCGGCCCCUGGACAAAGACUGACGCUCAUGUGCGAAAGCGUGGGGAGCAAAC
rnacentral:rRNA from 1 species